AGGUUGUGACAGGAAUCGUAUCCUUUUCACUUUACAGAUCUAGGGAACCAUAACAAACGCUCCAAAUUUCCUCGCAUUGAGCAUUCUGACAAACCACCAUGUUAUCUGGGAAGAUACAGAACACGCCAAGGCAAGGCACCCUCCAGAAAUUGAGGACUGCAAGCAAGCCGGAAUUACUGAAUAAAUGAACGCGAUUAGUUCUCAGUUGCUGAAAGCAGGAGUUCACUCAAAUUUUCAGACGCGUUGAAUGACUUCAAAUCCCUACCUGCCCCUAUCAAGAAGGCUGAUGGAGUAUUAAACUGAUAUUGAUUAUUUGCAGUAGGACACGGAAACAACUCGUACAUCCUUACCUCUGCCAGACCAUCACAUUGAACGUGUGACUGAAUCCAC